rnacentral:rRNA from 1 species
UACGAAGGGGGCUAGCGUUGCUCGGAUUGACUGGGCGUAAAGGGUGCGUAGGCGGCGCGGUAAGUCGGGUGUGAAAUCUUGGAGCUUAACUCCGAAACUGCAUUCGAUACUGCCGUGCUUGAGGACUGGAGAGGAGACUGGAAUUUACGGUGUAGCGGUGAAAUGCGUAGAUAUCGUAAGGAAGACCAGUGGCGAAGGCGGGUCUCUGGACAGUUCCUGACACUGAGACACGAAGGCCAGGGGAGCAAACGGG